UGGGGAAUCUUGGACAAUGGGGGCAACCCUGAUCCAGCCAUGCCGCGUGGGUGAUGAAGGCCUUAGGGUCGUAAAGCCCUUUCGCCGGGGAAGAUAAUGACGGUACCCGGUAAAGAAGCCCCGGCUAACUCCGUGCCAGCAGCCGCGGUAAUACGGAGGGGGCUAGCGUUGUUCGGAAUGACUGGGCGUAAAGCGCGCGUAGGCGGAUCGGAAAGUUGGGGGUGAAAUCCCGGGGCUCAACCUCGGAAU
rnacentral:rRNA from 1 species